rnacentral:rRNA from 1 species
GGGCCCGCACAAGCGGUGGAGCAUGUGGUUUAAUUCGAUGAUAUGCGAGGAACCUUACCAGGGCUUAAAUGGGAAAUGACAGGGGCAGAGACGCCCCCUUCUUCGGACAUUUUUCAAGGUGCUGCAUGGUUGUCGUCAGCUCGUGCCGUGAGGUGUCAGGUUAAGUCCUAUAACGAGCGCAACCCUCGUUUCCAGUUGCCAGCGGGUAAUGCCGGGGACUCUGGAAAGACAAACCUCUUGUUGAGGUGGGAAGGUGGGGACGACGUCAAGUCAGUAUGGCCCUUACGACCAGGGCUGCACACGUGCUACAAUGCCCGGCACAAUGGGAUGCAAUAUCGCGAGAUUGAGCAAAUCCACAAAACCGGGCCCAGUUCGGAUUGGAGUCUGCAACUCGACUCCAUG